UACAUGGGGUGCAAACGUUGCUCGGAAUUAUUGGGCGUAAAGUGCACGUAGGCGGUUCGUUAAGUCGGAUGUGAAAGCCCUCGGCUCAACUGAGGAAGUGCACCCGAAACUGGGGGGACUUGAGUACAGAAGAGAAGAGUGGAAUUCCACGUGUAGCGGUGAAAUGCGUAGAGAUGUGGAGGAACACCAGUGGCGAAGGCGACUCUUUGGUCUGUAACUGACGCUGAGGCGCGAAAGCGUGGGGAGCAAACAGG
rnacentral:rRNA from 1 species